ACUCCUACGGGAGGCAGCAGUGGGGGAAUAUUGCACAAUGGGGGAAACCCUGAUGCAGCCAUGCCGCGUGUGUGAAGAAGGCCUUGGUUGUAAAGUCACUUCAGUAGGGAGGAAGGUAGUGUAGUUAACACCUGCAUUAUUUGACGUUACCUACAGAAGAAGCACCGGCUAACUCCGUGCCAGCAGCCGCGGUAAUACGGAGGGGUGCGAGCGUUAAUCGGAAUUACUGGGCGUAAAGCGCAUGCAGGCGGCCUGUUAAGUCAGAUGUGAAAGCCCGGGGGCUUAACCUCGGAAUUGCAUUUGAAACUGGCAGGCUAGAGUCUUGGUAGAGGGGGUUAGGAAUUUCAGGUGUAGCGGUGAAAUGCGUAGAGAUCUGAAGGAAUACCAGUGGCGAAGGCGGCCCCCGUGGACAAAGACUGACGCUCAGAUGCGAAA
rnacentral:rRNA from 1 species